GCCAGUGUUGCUCAGUGGGUAGAGCUUCAGCCUGGGAACUGAAGGGUCCCAGGUUCGAUUCUGGUCAAGGGCA
rnacentral:tRNA from 1 species